AUUCUACUCCCACCAUUGCACAAUACAUGCCUUCUAUUUGUCAAAAUAUAUAUAUGUAUCUAGACAUGUUUUAGUAUAUAGGUACAUCCAUUUUUGGACAAAUGGAAGUCAAGUAUUUUGGAACGGAGGGAGUACACA
rnacentral:pre_miRNA from 1 species